rnacentral:rRNA from 1 species
AUGGACGCGCUCGAGCUCCGCUACCGCCGGUACGUGCUGCUGUCCACGGCGGUUGGUGAUGGCGAGGAGAGCGUGACGCCGACAGCUCUUCUGGCAGCCUUGGAGGAGCGUUGCGGCGUGGUGGCGUCGGAGGUGGUCAUCGAGGUCGCGUGCCCCCCUCACGACCUGUGGCUCACCUUCUCAACGGAGGAGAAGUGCACCGAUGUGCUCUUUUCGUCGAUGAAGUUCAAGUGCUGCCGCCGCUGGAUCCAGUUUACACGCUGGAGCAGAUUCAUUCGUGUUGGGCCGGGUGCUUUGGAGUACAGGUGCAAGCUCAGCUUCGAAGGCCUCCCCAACCAGUCCUGGACGACGGAAUCGGUGAAAGCAGUUCCGAAAGACCUCGGUGGCGAACUCAUCGAGAUCCUGCCGCCGACAAACCGCCGCGAGCUCGAGGCCGUCGUCGCCAAAGAAGAAGAGGACACUGUUGUAUCCUGUUUUGUGCCAUAUGAAAGAGGUGAUUGA